AGAAAAUGGGCCCUCUUGGCCGUCGGGACUUGCACUGUUGGUGACUCCGUCUCCUUAGACGGUGGAGCCUGCGUGACCCAGAAAGGCCGCCUCGGGACCCAGACCAGGAUUUCCAUCAGCUCCCCUGGCUUGCAGGCCUUCUGACUUCUGACUCACCAUCAGCUCUCCUGGAUCCAGCUUGCCAAUGGCAGAUCGUGGGACUCCUUGGCCUCUAAUCGCAUGAAACAAUGCCCACGGUUGAUUCCAGAUCCUGGCUACUGUGCAUAGUGCUGCAGUCAACAUGGGAGUGCUGAUAUCUCUUCAAUAUACUGAUUUCCUUUUCCUUGGGUAUCUACCUAACAAGAUGGUGAGCUCCUUAGAGGGAAGUAUAGUACAUAUUUCCUCCAUGUCUCCAGUACCCAACACAGUGCCUGACGUUGAGAGGGCUCUUAAUAAGUGUUUGUGAAAGACUGAUAGAGCAAUGCCCUAUGAAACAAGAAACAGGAUAACAUUGCUUAGGACUCAGAGGAGAGAGGAGUGUGGUCUACACUGCACAUCUCUGCCAAGCCUGGCACGGGAUUUGAAGUUCCACACCACUGAGCCAAACACAUCCAGGCCCUCUUCCAACCCGGGGAUCUGGUGGUAAGCAAAAUACUAUUCCAGCAAGUGAUGCCCCCAGUCUCCUAAGGA
rnacentral:lncRNA from 1 species